GGAUUAGGCAUGCAAGUCGAACGAGAAAGCUUCCUUCGGGAAGUGAUUAAAGUGGCGAAAGGGUGAGUAAUGUAUGGAUGACUUACCCUCGAGACGGGGACAACAGCUCGAAAGGGCUGCUAAUACCCGAUAGUUCCUGUUGCCCAAGGGCUUCAGGAUAAAUGGUGCUUCCGCUCGAGGAGAGGUCCAUAUCCUAUCAGCUUGUUGGUGGGGUAAAAGCCUACCAAGGCGAUGACGGGUAGCCGGACUGAGAGGUUGGCCGGCCACACUGGGACUGAGACACUGCCCAGACUCCUACGGGAGGCUGCAGUCGAGAAUCUUCCGCAAUGGGCGAAAGCCUGACGGAGCGACGCCGCGUGCAGGAGGACGGCCCUCGGGUUGUAAACUGCUGUCAUACGUUAAGAAACGUUAUGUUUAAUCAUAGCCUGACAAAGGCGUGAGAGGAAGUCACGGCUAACUUCGUGCCAGCAGCCGCGGUAAGACGAAGGUGGCAAGCGUUGUUCGGAAUUACUGGGCAUAAAGCGCGCGUAGGUGGCUUGGUAUGUCAAUGGUGAAAUCCCGUGGCUCAACCAUGGAACUGCCGUUGAAACUGCCAGGCUUGAGUACAGGAGGGGAGAGUGGAAUUCCAAGUGUAGCGGUGAAAUGCGUAGAUAUUUGGAGGAACGCCGGAGGCGAAAGCGACUCUCUGGACUGUUACUGACACUGAGGCGCGAAAGCUAGGGGAGCAAACAGGAUUAGAUACCCUGGUAGUCCUAGCCGUAAACGAUGGGCACUAGGUGGAGGGAGUUCCGAUGCUUUCUCUGUCGAAGCUAAUGCGAUAAGUGCCCCGCCUGGGGAGUAUGGUCGCAAGGCUAAAACUCAAAGGAAUUGACGGGGACUCACACAAGCGGUGGAGCAUGUGGUUUAAUUCGAAGCAACGCGCAGAACCUUACCCGGGUUUGAAAUGCAGGGAUUAACCUUCUGAAAGGAAGGGGAUUGCCUUUGGUGUAACCUGCACAGGUGUUGCAUGGCUGUCGUCAGCUCGUGUCGUGAGAUGUCGGGUUAAGUCCCUUAACGAGCGAAACCCUUAUCUUUAGUUGCCAGCGGGUAAUGCCGGGGACUCUAGAGAGACUGCCGUUGUUAAAACGGAGGAAGGUGGGGACGACGUCAAGUCAUCAUGGCCUUUAUGUCCGGGGCUACACACGUGCUACAAUGGCCGGUAUAAAGUGAAGCAAGACCGCAAGGUGGAGCAAAUCACAGAAAGCCGGUCCCAGUUCGGAUUGGGGGCUGCAAUUCGCCCCCAUGAAGUCGGAAUCGCUAGUAAUCGCGGGUCAGCCAUACCGCGGUGAGUAUGUUCCUGAGUCUUGUACACACCGCCCGUCAAGCCACGAAAGCUGGUAGUACCUUAAGUCGUGUACCUAACUCGAACCUUCGGGAACGGGAGGGAAGCGCCCACGGUAAAACUAGUGAUUGGGACUAAGUCGUAACAAGGUAGCCGUAGGGGAACCUGUGGCUGGAUCACCUCCUUUCUAGGGAUAACUAGACUUGGUCGGUCAGAAAUGGCCAGCCUUGAUUUUCGGCGCAUGCGAGUCGUUCAGGCUACUCUUUCUUUAAUAUUCUGCAGUGAGGAAUCUUUCUCUCUGCAUCAUAAUAAAAACUGCCUCGUGCAGUUUUGCUCUUUGUGAACUUGAACAACAUCAAUUGGAUCAUUCGGGCCUAUAGCUCAGUUGGUUAGAGCGUACGCCUGAUAAGCGUAAGGUCUGUGGUUCGAAUCCACAUAGGCCCACCAGAAGGUAGACCUGAAUUUACUAUUCAGGAUUUACGCACUAAAACGAGACAAAUCCUUUUGUUGGGGGCGUAGCUCAGUUGGAAGAGCAUCUCGCUUGCACCGAGAAGGUCGCGGGCUCGAAUCCUGUCGCCUCCACCAGAUGCGCGACUUUGAUCUUUGAUCAGUUGGUUCUUUGACAAAGUGGGGUUCGUGGUCAAAUUAACACACUGUAUCUUGGGAUUUGCUUGAUUCUCAAAAAAAGUGGUCAAGCUACUAAGAGUACAUGGCGGAUGUUUAGGCAUCAGCGAGCGACGAAGGACGUGGGACGACUGCGUUAAGCUCCGGGGAGUUGUCUACCAAGCUUUGAUCCGGAGAUUUCCCAAUCCGAAAACGGGCCAGGGUAAACCCCUGGCAUUCAUAGCUGAAUGCAUAGGCUAUGGAAGCGAACCGGGAGAACUGAAAC
rnacentral:rRNA from 1 species